rnacentral:lncRNA from 1 species
CUGCCCAAGAACCCAUAAUGGUUUGUCCUUGGACAAUUCGAAGGAUGUGACUCUGCCUUGAGGGCACAUUUUGGGGAGGUGGAACCUCCAUUUAUUUGUCUCCACAAUUGUUUCAUCUGUGCUUUGUGGCUUCCUGUCCACUGCCUUCUCAUCUGAUGGUGUUGCCAUUAAUAACCCUCACACAGGCACUUUGAGGGACAUCGUGGUCUACACCUGCCUUUGAAGGGGCCCCCACCACAGUUUUAAUGACCUCCAUUUGUCAAAGGAAAAGUUCAGAGUUCAUUCUUUUGUCCAAGCCCUGGCAACUGAAGCGUCCAGGAUGAUACUAGGACAAAAACCAAGCAAUGUUGCAUGAGAAGACAGCAGUUUCCAGAAGCCCAGUCGUGUGGGCAAACAGGAAGUCAUUCCUGCCACAUCAGUUAGAGUCACACACACUUAGGUGCAGACCCAGCUCUCUGAAGGGACAGCGAUGGUUUUCUCAGAGUGCCCAUUUCAUGCCAGGCCGCUUGCUCUGUUCUGUUGUACAUAUUCAUGGGCAUUAACUCAGGUAAGCUUGACACUAAGUCAUGUAGGCAACAGAAGGCUUUCCUGGGUCUCUUCCCUGGCAUUGCUUGUCACAAGCUUCAGAUGAAUGUGGGAGUAUUUUGUGUAAGCACUGAAAGUUAAGUUUUAUUGAGCA